GUGACAACCAAUAAAUAUGUACAUUUAUUAAUAAUAAAAAACCAGGAUAUAAUCAAAGUUAAUGCAAUCUAUGAACAUUAAUAGAUAGAACCAAUCAGAUU